ensembl:snRNA U1 U1 spliceosomal RNA
ACACUUACCUGACAGGGGAGAUACCAUGAUCACAAAGGUGAUUUUCCCAGGUCACAGCUUAUUCAUUGUAUUCCAGGUGUGCUGACCUCUGUGAUUUUCCCAAAUGUGGGAAACUCGACUGCAUAAUUUGUGGUACUGGGAGACUGCAUUUGCACCCUCCUC